AUGUGUGGACAUGAUAAUGAAACGUUAUUUCACUCGUUGAUGGAAUGUGAACAUGUAAGUCGUCUUUGAGAGGAAACAAAACGUUUCUUUGGUAUUGACAUACCAAGAUUACACCCACAGUCAUGGUCUAGAGAUCUGCUAGGUCAACAAUUAUAUAAGAAAGAAGUGGCGGCUAUUAUGAUUACUGUGAUGUGGGCCAUGUGGCACUCCAGGAACAACUAUACUCAUGGUGAGUUGGUAUACCAGCCGGUCAAAUCAAUGGUGAUCAUUGAAGAGAUUAUUAGGGCUUUGGAGAUCCCUGAGAGGAAGAAGAACCAAGCUACUGUACACCCAAGGUGGCUGCCACCGGAGGAGGGGUGGAUACUGGGUCAUCCGGAAAUGUUAACACCAUGA
rnacentral:rRNA from 1 species